GGCUAUAUCAGGUUGAAGAAUCGGUUCUUGUACGAUCACAGAAGUUAAGCAACUUCGAGCCUCGGCAGUACCUAGACGCGUGACCGUUUAGGAAUACCAAGUGCUGUAAG